rnacentral:rRNA from 1 species
GAUGAACGCUAGCGGCAGGCCUAACACAUGCAAGUCGAGGGGUAUAGGGAGCUUGCUUCCUAGAGACCGGCGCACGGGUGCGUAACGCGUAUGCAAUCUACCUUGUACAGGGGGAAUAGCCCAGAGAAAUUUGGAUUAAUGCCCCAUAGUAUUAUUAAAUGGCAUCCUUUAAUAAUUAAAGUUCCAACGGUACAAGAUGAGCAUGCGUCCUAUUAGUUAGUUGGUGUGGUAACGGCAUACCAAGACGAUGAUAGGUAGGGGUCCUGAGAGGGAGAUCCCCCACACUGGUACUGAGACACGGACCAGACUCCUACGGGAGGCAGCAGUGAGGAAUAUUGGACAAUGGGCGCAAGCCUGAUCCAGCCAUGCCGCGUGCAGGAAGACGGUCCUAUGGAUUGUAAAACUGCUUUUAUACAGGAAGAAACACUGGUUCGUGAACCAGCUUGACGGUACUGUAAGAAUAGGAUCGGCUAACUCCGUGCCAGCAGCCGAC